GACAAAGACAAACCAACUGGCAUAUAGGUU
rnacentral:piRNA from 1 species